GCCAGCUCCCUCAGGACAUGCCCU
rnacentral:siRNA from 1 species